rnacentral:rRNA from 1 species
UACGUAGGGUGCGAGCGUUAAUCGGAAUUACUGGGCGUAAAGCGUGCGCAGGCGGUUUUGUAAGCCAGAUGUGAAAUCCCCGGGCUUAACCUGGGAACUGCAUUUGUGACUGCAUCGCUGGAGUGCGGCAGAGGGGGAUGGAAUUCCGCGUGUAGCAGUGAAAUGCGUAGAUAUGCGGAGGAACACCGAUGGCGAAGGCAAUCCCCUGGGCCUGCACUGACGCUCAUGCACGAAAGCGUGGGGAGCAAACAGG